CAAAUGGAAGGCAACUCAAGGAAACGGACUCCAACACAAAUGGUUUAUUUUGGAGAUGAUCGCAGGCAACAGCACCAGGCGAAGAGGGCUGUGAUGGAGGGCAAGUACAAAGUCAAAACUACUUCAGACGCAGCUGCUCCAGCUACCCCGCCGCCCCCCCCCCCAGAACUCCAGACACUAGUAAAACCCGUGCUGCCUGUGACGAGAGGCAGCUGGUUACCGAACUUUGCGCCUAGUAGAUGACACUUCCCCAGACUUCCUGCUGCUGCUGCGCCAUGUAUGCUCUGAACACCACGGAAAUCCUCUGACAAAAAAUGCAAGGCUGGGAUAGAGAUGUGGCUCAGUUGAUGGAGUGUCCACCUAGCAUGCACAAAAUCCUGGUUCGAUCCCAAGUGCAGCACGAACCAGGCGUGGUGGCUCACACCUAGAAUCACAGCACUCAGAGGUGCAGGCAGGAAAUGCAAAACCAUCCUCAGCUACAUAGGGGAUUUGAGACCAGCCUAGGAUACAUGAGACCCUGUAAACCACCCCCACCAAUGAGGUUAGGACAGUACCUGGGGUGGUAAAGUGUUAGCAUCACAAGCCUGAGAAUCUGAGUUUGAUUGGCAGCACCCACAUUAAAAAACGGUGCAGGGCUGGGAAGGUGACUCAGUAGUUAUGAACACUUGCAGAGGAACAGGGUUCAGUUUCCAGCAGUGACUUAGUGGCUCAUAACCAUCAUAACCUCAGUAUUAGAGGACCUGACGCCAUCCUUCGACUCUGGGGCGCAAGGCAUGCGUGUGCCACACAUUUAUAACUGCAGGCUAAACUCUUACACAAAUACAAUAAUUAAAUCUUAAAAAAAAAAAAAGCCGGUGGUGGUGGUGUGGUGGUGGUGGUGGUGGUGGUGGUGGUGGUAGUGGUGGUGGCGGUGGCGGCACAUACCUUUAAUGCCAGCGCUUGGGAGGCAGAGGCAGGCAGAUCUCUGUGAGUUCCAGACCAGCCUGAUCUUCAGAGCAAGUUCCAGGACAGUCUCCAAACAACAGAGAAACCCUGUCUUGAAAAACCAAACCAAACAAACAAAAACAACAAAACAAAAAUUG
rnacentral:lncRNA from 1 species